UGUUCAGCGUGGUUCCACUUG
rnacentral:siRNA from 1 species